CAGUCGCCGCGGGAAUACGGAGGGUGCAAGCGUUAAUCGGAAUUACUGGGCGUAAAGCGUGCGUAGGCGGUUCGUUAAGUCUGUUGUGAAAGCCCCGGGCUCAACCUGGGAAUGGCAAUGGAUACUGGCGAGCUAGAGUGUGUCAGAGGAUGGUGGAAUUCCCGGUGUAGCGGUGAAAUGCGUAGAGAUCGGGAGGAACAUCAGUGGCGAAGGCGGCCAUCUGGGACAACACUGACGCUGAGGCACGAAAGCGUGGGGAGCAAACAGGAUUAGAUACCCCUGUAGUCCCUGUCUCUUAUAA
rnacentral:rRNA from 1 species